GUCUUUGGCUGUGAAACAAUUCUAAACAUCAUUAAACUAUCAUAUAUUCUGGCAGAGUUGCUGGUGUCUGCUCCAAGAAAGGCAAGAGAUGACAGCAUUAAAAAUUAGGUCUUAGAUAAGUUUAACAGACAGGGCAAAGGGAACGUAAAAAAUUCCUUCAUCAUACAUGAAGAAACUCAUGGGCACCACUGAUAAUGUUUAUCAAGAGUGCUCCUCAGGGGUGUUCAGAAAAAGGAACCAGAUUUUGGAUGUUUAAUCAGUCUUUCUGGUAUGCAAAACUGAGUGUAAAAUCACUCAAGGAACCCUCAGAGGACUGAAAAGAGGAGCAGAGAGUUUCUCACACACGCAGCAGGAUAUGACAAGGCUGAUCCCUCACAGAGAGAGUGCUGCUUUCUAUGGAUGCUUCAGGAACUGAAGAAUGUCUCUUUCACUCCUUUAUCUUGUAUCAUGCUGACAAUUGUCCUGCCUGAACCCCACCCCCAACCCCACCUAUGCUUAAGGGUGGAAUAAACUCUGUCCAAAAGGCCCUAUUCCUUUUCUCAGAA